AGUGAACGCUGGCGGUAGGCCUAACACAUGCAAGUCGAACGGCAGCACAGGAGAGCUUACUCUCUGGGUGGCGAGUGGCGGACGGGUGAGGAAUACAUCGGAAUCUACUCUGUCGUGGGGGAUAACGUAGGGAAACUUACGCUAAUACCGCAUACGACCUACGGGUGAAAGCAGGGGACCUUCGGGCCUUGCGCGAUUGAAUGAGCCGAUGUCGGAUUAGCUAGUUGGCGGGGUAAAGGCCCACCAAGGCGACGAUCCGUGGCUGGUCUGAGAGGAGGAUCAGCCACACUGGAGCUGAGACACGGUCCAGACUCCUACGGGAGGCAGCAGUGGGGAAUAUUGGACAAUGGGCGCAAGCCUGAUCCAGCCAUACCGCGUGGGUGAAGAAGGCCUUCGGGUUGUAAAGCCCUUUUGUUGGGAAAGAAAUCCAGCUGGCUAAUACCCGGUUGGGAUGACGGUACCCAAAGAAUAAGCACCGGCUAACUUCGUGCCAGCAGCCGCCGUAA
rnacentral:rRNA from 1 species